rnacentral:rRNA from 1 species
AAUGAACGCUGGCGGCAUGCCUAACACAUGCAAGUCGAACGAAGCCUUCGGGCUUAGUGGCGCACGGGUGCGUAACGCGUGGGAAUCUGCCCUUGGGUUCGGAAUAACAGUUAGAAAUGACUGCUAAUACCGGAUGAUGACGUAAGUCCAAAGAUUUAUCGCCCAAGGAUGAGCCCGCGUAGGAUUAGCUAGUUGGUGAGGUAAAAGCUCACCAAGGCGACGAUCCUUAGCUGGUCUGAGAGGAUGAUCAGCCACACUGGGACUGAGACACGGCCCAGACUCCUACGGGAGGCAGCAGUGGGGAAUAUUGGACAAUGGGCGAAAGCCUGAUCCAGCAAUGCCGCGUGAGUGAUGAAGGCCUUAGGGUUGUAAAGCUCUUUUACCCGGGAUGAUAAUGACAGUACCGGGAGAAUAAGCUCCGGCUAACUCCGUGCCAGCCGCCGCAGUAAAAC